ensembl:piRNA 21ur-991 ncRNA
UGGAUAGUCUCACGGUAUACC